CCGGUGAACGUGUUUUUAGAUUUUGGAAAUAUAAACUUGACCCACGGUCUUGUGUUAUAACGUAUUUGAUGACGCAAACAUGAAAAAAAAACAGAUACUAGUCAUUACAUAUUCAACCGUGUGUCCGCCCGCCACUCCGCCAGGCCAGCUUCUACGCACAUUUAUCAAAUUUAUAUAAAACCCCAGCAACCUCUAUAACCUUUUCACUUAUUAAGCAUGAAAAGGGGUAGUGAAAGUCUUCUUGAUAAGAAUAUUGCUCACAAAAAUACAAGAGACUGUUUUCAUGACCUCAUUUCCAUUAUUCCUCCUCAACAUUUCCAUCCCUCCAAGGUACGUACGUAUAUAGUGAGUGAAAUAAUAUUUCAUACUCCCUCCAUCCUCAAAUUAUCUGUCCCGCCUUGAAGGAUACGCUAUCCCAAGCUAAUAAGAUUGAACAAGCAACAGGUUACAUAGUGAAGUUGAGGGAGAGAGUUGACAACUUAUCAAAGAGAAAGGAGCAACUACAACAAAUGAUGGUUAACGACGAAGAAGGGACAUCAUCUAGUGAACAAAACACCACUGCUUCAAAUAAUAAUUCUGAUGCAACGAUGUCGAAUUCGGGAUUAUUAUUACCUAUCAUCAAAGUGAAAGACUUGGGUAGUUGUUUAGAGGUGCAACUUAUGUUGGAACUGGAGAGUAAUAUCAAGUUAUAUGAAGUGAUUAGGGUUCUUGAGGAAGAAGGAGCUGAAGUUGUCAAUGCUACUUUUUCUAAUAAUACUGGGAAUAUGGCUUUGCACACUCUCCAUUGUAAGGUACUUGUAAUUUUUAACUCCCUAGAUUAUUUUUUUGCAUGACACAAAAUUGAAGUCAAAACUUGAAUUAUGGAUCCGGGUUAAAAAGAAGUACAUACAGUACACGGUAUUAUUAGACCGCGAAGCUGGGUCAUGGAAGUCGGGCCUCCACCAACCUCCGGUGCCCCACUCUUAAAUUUCUAAUCAUACAAAAGAGAGAUUAUUGUUAACUUAACUUGAUGGAGAUUGAAAAUCAUGUCAUUUUCAUCUUCUGUAACUAGUGGACAUUUUUGAAUGUGCAAUAGUGAUUACCCUGACUAGUGAGAAUAGAUAGGAUAUGUUGUCUUAAGCUAAUAUAUAUAUGUCCGUUUAUAAGAAAAAUCUUAUGCAGUAAUAUUUUUUGUAUACCAAAUAUGCUUGAUUAAGUGGUAAGGUUUGCAUUUCACAACCUUAAAUUGUGGGAUCAAACCCCACUAGAGGCAGGACCGGGAGGACCUGUGAGAGGUAUUAAUAUUAUAAAACGGAGGGAAUAUUAUUACAGUAUCACGAAUUUUAAUCUUCUCUUUCAAUUGUUAAAAAAAAAAUUAAAAAA